AUCGGUAUGACUUAACUGCAAUCAUAAUGUGUGUGAGAGAUGUGAAUGGUUAUUCAAUACUUCACCAAGUUUGACAACUUACCAUUUCUGAACUACUAUUACUUAACUCAGGAUCGGCGUCCUGAUUGGAAAGGCCAUCAUCAGUGUCUGGCGGCAUCUCAAUGUCGCGUUGAAGAGCUGCACGAGACUGAGAUCUAAUACGCAAAGCCAUUAUUAUGAAUGAUAAUCUUAGCUUUCAGUGGUCGCAGAUUUUUCCAAAGUUGUGCUCCUAUCUGCAAUGCUUAUAUAAAUUACUCUUGGCUUUAAAAGCAAUGUCACAUAUACCACAAGGGAACGGACGUUCGUUCGUAUGAACCCUUAUAUGUUUUUGCAGCACCGAAGGUUUUAUACAGCUCAUACUGUAAUAAUACAUGGCGUCCAAUACUACAAGCGCUGAUAGUCACUGAGUCACUAGAGUAUUGAGUUCGUUACAAACUUCGGCAGUCUGUUAUUUGACGUAUUGCUCUUCGCUGCCUGUUCAGUACUAGGUUGAUUUUAUGAUUUGUUGACGAAACCAUUUGUUAACGUGGACGGAUGAGCCAGCGUUAUCCCCGGAUCAAAUGGGUUAUUUGUUGAAAUACGAUUCGAUACAUGGACGUUUAAAUGUAGAGAUUGAAAGUGGCAGGGGUUGUUUAGUGGUUAAUGAUAAAAAGACUAUAUUAACGAAAGAGAGGGAUCCGAAGAAAACAAGAUGGGCAGACGCGCUUAAAUCAAAUCAGAAAGUGAUCGAUCAGAAUAAUAAAAGUGGACCUAUCUCAAGUUCUUCUGAGUGUUGCGCACAUCCGUACAAACUUAAUAAACUCUUGUACCUUAAAUCCUGUUUGGUAUAAAAAUAGAUCUAAUACUCUGGAACUGGAUUAAAAAUUUCGGGUGUAAAAAAUCGAACAUUAAAAAAUAGAAAUCGUCUGUACAAAGACAGCAGGUUUAACGCAAAUAUUUUUCCUUAGGAAACCUUUCAUUCAAUCUGAAUCGACUUAGCUAGGACAGAAAGAAAAAUAAUUGCAUAGUUUAGACUCCGAGAAAUUGUAAAUAUGCAAAAGCAGACUUGAUUGUAUGUGAUUAAUUUAUGAGCACAGUCAAGUUUUACAGUAGAUGCGAUAUGCGCAAAAAUUCGUUGCAGUCGAAAUCUGUAUAUGUACGAAAUGUUUGAUAUAUAAUCAGUACGAAGUCUUGAUUUGAGCUGUUGGGAUAUCUUAGAGCGAAUACAAAAGUCUUACUAUAAUUAUUAAUCUUUUUGUCUAGUGAUCGUUUUGUUUUUAAAUCUUCUUCAAAUGUAUUGCCAACUUAUGAUAUACCAAUCAUACCAGACUUGGCUGAUUUUAAGGAUAACAUAUUACUCAAUGAAAUCCUCGAAACACCUUCGUAGGGUUUUCUUUCAAUUUGCAUCAAAAAUGUUUUAGUUAUUGCUCGUUUUUUAAUUUAUAGUUUCACUUGACUGGGCCGUUACUUUUAAAGAAUUAAACUCGGAUAUUAAUGCAAAAAUCGUACCGCAAUGUGGAAGGUGCAGAUUUAUCAAUACUAACAAAGUGUUUGUAAGCACCAGAGAAUUAGGACGAGCCAGCUUUGGGAGUGGGAGAAAUUAUUCACCGAUGUGGUAGUCGAAAUUAAUGCUGAUAAGUCUAUGUCAUCAAAACCAUCACCACUACCAGUGGUGUUAACCUAGGAAAUGAUACGUGACUUAAGUGAAGCAUUUUCUUUUUUUAGAAAAGCUUAUGUUGAAUGAACGAUUGUCAAAACGAGUGAAAGGAGGCCUAUUGCAAGAAGAAUAAACUUUACAAAGUGUUUUGCAGUUUCAGAAAAUCAUUUCGAGUUUUUUAAUAACGUUAACAUUUGCUAGACAAUAUUACAAGAGGAUAUCGAUGAGGCCCUUCACGAGACGUGUCGUAAUUUAAUCUAAACGAAUUUGUUGCUUAAACUCUUAAUAUUUCUUGCAUUUUCUAUAAAAAAAAGACUAAAAUAACGCGAAAAUUUUCUGUGACAAUAUAUGUUUUGCCACGUUCCUCGAUAUUUGUGCUCAACAUUUGCGGAAAGUUUAAUUUUUUUUAUAUCUUCAACAAGGGAAAUAUAGUACAAGUUAAAAUAAAAGCCCGCCUACAAUUUAAUUAUUUCACAACCUCAUGGUUUUUCGAUUUUUUUUUUGUAAGAUUGACUGGACUCAAUCAAUAAAAGAUAUGUUCAUAGAGUAAAGCAUGCAUCAAAAUCACUGAAGACGUCAGUAGACUGUGCAGAUGUAAAAGUAGUGUUGUAAACUUUGGUUGAAAAAGAAUGGUUAAGAGAGUUGAACUUAAAAAAAAAACAAUUAUCGUGAAUUAAAAACAAAAAUUUGUUAAUAAAGCAAGUUUCUCUCAGGAAUUAAAGGAGGUCUCUGAUAAAGGUUUGAAGUUAAAUGUGGUAUUUAUAUUAUAAAAAGGGCGAUUGGAUUUGGCAUGCGCAAUAUCUUUAAAUUCACAAUUUAGUUGUUGAAAGAUGUGGAAUGCGAAUUCCCCGUAUUGCUUCCUUGGGAGUAUAUUUGAUGGACGAAAUUGUAUCAUCAACUUCAACAUUUUUCGUAUGAAAGUCGGCCUUUUAAUUUAAAAAAAAACCGCUGUGACCAGGUAUCCAAACAAGAAGCAGAGCUGAGUUACUAUCAGAAAAAACGAGGAAAGUUUUAUGACGAUUCAUUAUAGCUGCAUUUACAGCAUGUCUGAUGGCAACCAAUUCAAUAAAAGUCGAAGAAAGUUCCUCCAUUACUCCGACUUUAUGCACUGUUUUAGAUAGACGCUCCCUACCGCGAAGCUAGAUACUGCAUUAAGUCCGACCGAAACGUCAGUAGCGUAUAUAUCAUAGCCGUUGUUGUAACAAAGAAGUUUUUCUUGAGAUAAGACCCUCGCUCCCAUCGCAGGGCUGUACGAUAGGGAUGCUGUACGCUAUAAGUGAGAGUAGAAUGGAAUGGUACAUCACAUCCGAAAUAAUGACUGGCUUACUUCGAAUAUGAUCAACUAAGCGAUUGGCAACGCCAAUUCAAUUUCGAAAAGAGUCAUAGCGGAGAAGAAGAUUGCACAUCCUCUUCCUCCUGAAUCUAUCCACCGACUAGGCAACACUAAAUAAAGUUGACAACCACUGACGAUAGGUUAUUUAAGUUAAGGCAUUGAAAUUUUAAGUUAUUUAGUCUCUAGGUUCUUUAUGGGCAAUUGCACCAUUUUCUUUAUUAUUCGAAUUAUGUACUUUAGUUAAAGUCAUAAGUUGAUUAAUAAGAGGAAAUUAAAUUAUAACCUCAACCGAUAUUAGAAUUUUUAUUCAAAUGAGAAAUAUAAAUAUUAAAGACAAGGACGACUAGAAUAGCCUUCGAGGCAUGUCCUGGCAACAGAAUUGAAAAUAAUUUUCGCAAAUAGGAAAAAUUAUAAUUCUCACGGUCUUUCUGGUCCCCUCUUAGUUAAAAAGUUUACCCUUUUUUUGACUUUUAUGCUAAAUUGUCCAGGAAACUAUACCAUUUCGCUUUGUUUUCUCAGCUUUGCCAUAACUUGACUGUCGGAGUUAAUGCGGGUGGGAUGCUUCAGCAUUCAAGAACAUGUUUAAAGAUAGGAUAAUCUGCUGUUGGAAAUAUGGAAAGAGUAUAUCCCGUAGGUGUGGCUCUUUGAAAUCUUGGGCUGAAUAUAUCGUUCCCAGUUUCGCAAAUCUUCAAUUUUAAGGCUUUAGUGUACUAUUUAUGUACUACUCAGUUUCGAAAACUAUACAUUGACCGGCACUUCCAUUGAGUCCCUAAGAUAUCUCACUCAAACAAAUAUCUCUCUCUCUUUAUAGUUAUAAUAAGAGGUGGUAUGCCAAAAAGCACUUUCAAUGCAUACAAGGACCAAGACAGUAUAGCCCCAGUCAGUCCUGUAAAUGCGGCGCGCUGAGUUCUGUGUAACUCUUUUAGUGUGUGGUUUUUUUGUGUUCAUGCAAUUUAGAGCCUUAUCACUCAGGUGUUUUACCCAGUGUUCUGAGUUAUCAGCGGCAGGCUUUACUCAGCCGUUUUUUGCAUAUUGGCCAUUCAGUAGUUCCCAAAGAGAUUCUCUGGCCUUUCAGUAGUUCUAGAGAGAUUCUCUGCAAAGUUCUUGCAAAUCCUUCAAUCGAUCCUACCUGUGCUACGUGAAUAGUUCCCGCUAUCUAAUAAUUGGGCAACGUUAAUUAAUAUCUAAAACUUAGGUGAUAGGAGGUAGCCUACUUAGAACUUUAGCUGUAGACGGCGAAAGAUGCGAUAUCUUAUUUAAAAGAGUACGAGGAAAGUAGUUAUUCAACUUUUGAUGAGAUAUAAUAAACUAUGAAAUUUUAAUAUACAUUUGUUAUAUAUUUUUGUUGAAUAUUUCAGCCAUAAUUACACAAGUAAAUACGCUAAACUAAAAACAAGUAAACACGCUAUAGUGUGUCACGGCGUACUAUUAAACAGACUUUUUAGAGAAAGCGUUCAUAUAGCCUGUGGUCUGAAAGUCGAACUCACCGUAUGUCUUCGUGCCAAAACACGUCAGUAUAUCGGAUUUCAUCAAAAUAUCCCAAAUGUUGUGGUGUGCAGGUUGGUCAUAAGACAACAAAAUAUACAGGCGGACAGGCACGGUGUAACGCCCGCGUAUAUACAUAUAGGGGUUUCUGUCGGUCGGCUUUUUCUCUGCAGUCUCGUACCGAAUCACAAUUAUGUCAAGUGUGUUUGAACGGAGAAAUUGAUUAAUUUUUUUUCCAUUUAAAAAAUACAAAAGUUUUGAAUUACCAAAGAAGGUCGGAGACAAGAUAAGGAGUGUUUCGGUAAAGGGCUCUGAAAGUAAUCCAAAGUCAUAACUACGAAAUUUUCUUUUAACGACCGCCCGUGCAAUUUGUAAAACGGAGAUUUUAUUUACUUAUAUACAAACUUAUAUAAACUUGCAAUAACUUACAGAGGCUUUUAAAUGUGCUAUAAAUUCUUGGUAAUUUACUGUAAUUUUAUGCUCUGUUUAUGCACAAAAGUAAUAAGAAGCGAUUAUCGAUAGAAAGAUAUAAACAUCAAGAAAUGGUUUUUAAAGCUAGUUUUGCAAAAAAGAAAUAAACGAAAAAAGAAGCCAACAGUCUGAAAUGCAUGUUUUUUGCUGCACCUCGAAGGGAAUACAAGCGGCAAUUUAGCAAGGAAAACGUCAUAAAGAAGAGCAUC